rnacentral:rRNA from 1 species
AUACGGAGGGUGCGAGCGUUACUCGGAGUCACUGGGCGUAAAGCGUCCGUAGGCGGUCGGGUAAGUCGGGUGUGAAAGCCCCGGGCUCAACCUGGGAAGUGCACCCGAUACUGCUCGACUCGAGUGCGGGAGAGGAUGGCGGAAUUCCCGGUGUAGCGGUGAAAUGCGUAGAGAUCGGGAGGAACACCAGUGGCGAAGGCGGCCAGCUGGCCCGCAACUGACGCUGAGGGACGAAAGCGUGGGGAGCAAACAGGAUUAGAAACCCUAGUAGUCC